rnacentral:lncRNA from 1 species
GCCGCCGUAAAAUUAACCUUGGGUAAAUUCCUCAAAUUGAUGACAGAAGGCUUCUUUUUUUUAAGCUAUAUUUUUAAUGACUUACACGUUUUACCAUUAUUCUUUUUCUUUCACUAUUCUUUUUUCCUUUUUUUCUUUGCCCGUUAUUCUCUAUUCUGUUAAUUCACAUCCACCAUACCCUCUUAUGUGGACUUUCGGUGGUUUAUUUUUUUAGUUCUGUGAUAAGUCAAUAUUUCAUGCAGGUUCAUGAAAUAAUGGUUUUAUGCAUAUCAGCCAAGAUUGUGCGUGGAAUUUUAAUAAACAAUUCAACACCACACGUUAUGUGAAUUUGAUUAAAAUCGAUGAACAUGAAUUUGACAGCUAGUAGUGACCCUUUUACAGGUAAAAUUCAAUUAACAAAUUCUGACCUACUGGCAUUCAACACAAAUUACCUACUUGCUGUAUAUUGAUAAAUGUGAUUGUAUGUCAAUACCUCAACAUCGUGAAUACGCCAUGUGAGGUGUUGGUUAUGUGUGCUACGGGGUCACUGGUGGCGCCUUCAAAACAGAAAAAAAAAUCAAGUAAAAAAGUGUGGAAUUUUGUUGUUGAAAAUUUAAGUUGUAAAUUCCUGAAAAAUGUACUUAAUUCCGUUCAACUGCUAACAUGUUAUACGAAAAUAGGAUAAAAAAAAGCAAUGGGUAUAAAAAAAAAAAAAAAACUGAAGAAGAAAAGUAAAAAGGAAAAGAAAGUCGUUGAAUUAAUUAUUUUACAAUUGUUUAAAUAUAUGCGAGAAUGUUUUAGGCAAAUUGUCUUUAUUUACAGAUAAAUGUAUUUAAGUUCAGGAAAUGAUUUAUUCUUCUGGCGGCUUCAAAUAUUUUUUUAUCAAUAACUUAUACACAAGGAGACAUUUUUGACUUUUGACAGCAUGGACCGCAAUUAAUUAGCAAACACAAAUUAAGACACAAAAUCGUUUACAAAUAAAUUUUAUAGAUUCAGAUUCAUUCAAUAGUUUAUUAUAGAAGGAAAAGGG